GACGAACGCUGGCGGCGUGCCUAAUACAUGCAAGUAGGACGCAGUUGCGAACGGGUGAGUAACGCGUAGGUAACUACCUAUUAGAGGGGGAUAACUACUGGCAACGAUAGCUAAUACCGCAUACUAGUAGAUGGACCUGCGUUGUCUUAGCUAGUAGGUAGGGUAAUGGCCUACCUAGGCAACGAGCCAUAGCCGAGCUGAGAGGGGGAUCGGCCACACUGGGACUGAGACACGGGCCAGACGCCUACGGGAGGCAGCAGUAGGGAAUUUUCGGCAAUGGGGGGAACCCUGACCGAGCAACGCCGCGUGAGUGAAGAAGGUUUUCGGAUCGUAAAGCUCUGUUGUUCAGGAAGCGGUACUUAACCAGAAAGGGACGGCUAACUACGUGCCAGCCGCCGCGGUAAUAC
rnacentral:rRNA from 1 species